rnacentral:rRNA from 1 species
UACGGAAGGUAGCAGUGGGGAAUAUUGCACAAUGGGCGCAAGCCUGAUGCAGCCAUGCCGCGUGUAUGAAAAAGGCCUUCGGGUUGUAAAGUACUUUCAGUCGUGAGGAAGGUGUUAAGGUUAAUAACCUUAGCAAUUGACGUUAGCGACAGAAGAAGCACCGGCUAACUCCGUGCCAGCAGCCGCGGUAAUACGGAGGGUGCGAGCGUUAAUCGGAAUUACUGGGCGUAAAGGGCACGCAGGCGGUUAAUUAAGUUGGAUGUGAAAUCCCCGGGCUUAACCUGGGAAUGGCAUUCAAGACUGGUUAGCUAGAGUCUUGUAGAGGGGGUAGAAUUCCAUGUGUAGCGGUGAAAUGCGUAGAGAUGUGGAGGAAUACCGGUGGCGAAGGCGGCCCCUGGACAAAGACUGACGCUCAUGUGCGAAAGCGUGGGGAGCGAAACAGGGAUUAGGAUA